UGGACACCCUGGAGAAGGAGCUGAGAGCGCGGGAGCAGUACUGGCGCUGCCAGGAGCAGGAAGAGGUUCGGCUGGCGGAACAGCUGGGCGCCAUGAGCCGGGGGCUGCUCUCCACGCCCGGCGAAAACCCGGGGCUGCAGCUGAGGGCCGCUGAGGAGGCCUGCGCAGCCCUAGAGGCCCGCUGCCUGCAGGAGACUCAGAGGAGAGCCGGAGCCCUGAGCGGCCAGAGCAGCCAGAGAGAGCGGGACCUGCUCGCUCAAGCAGACAGAGAGGAGUGGGAGCAGGAGACGCAGGUGAUGCUGGGCCUGCAGCAAGUCCUGCAGAGUUUAGGGCAGGCGGCAGAAAAGCUCAGGCAAGCGGCAGGCCGGCUGUGGGCCCAGGAGGAGGAGAUGCGGCUACAGUGCAGCAGGGAUCAAAGCCCACAGGUCUGGAGCCGCUCCAGGAAGGUGGUCCAGCAUCUCUCCGAUGAGCUUCAGAAGGUGGUGAGUGAGCGGCAGAGCGCCCUGGAUAGGGCCCUUGGUCAGCUGCAGUACCAGCGGGAGCUGAGCCGCCUCCAACUCUUGCACAUCCAGAUUGUUGCCUCGGGGACCCCUGUAUGUUUGGAGAAUUACCCUGGAGACAGGUUUUAUGGAACCAUCACCACUUCUCCCAGGGACCAGGCUGCUGCCUGCCCCCUGCUGAUUCCCUUCCUGAAGAGCCUCACUGCAGCGCUAGUGGGAGAUCAAGGCCACGGCCUAGGACUGGAGGACAGGGGACCAGGAACAGGUGA
rnacentral:lncRNA from 1 species